CCCUCUUCAAUCAAGAAAUCCUCUGCUUCUCCUCGCCUGAGAUGCCACCGCGGCCGUCCCUCCGGUCACUCCUCCUCAUAGCGGCCUCCCCCUCCGUGGCCGCCGGGGACUCGGGCCUCCUCCUCGCCGCGCGCCGCCACUUCCCUGCCGCCUUAGCCGCCGCAGGGGGGCACCGCAUCCGCCUGCUCCACUCCUUCUCCGGGGGCCGUCUCCCCAGGCCGGUCGAGCUCGCCUGCUGCUUCGGAACCGCCCCCGCCGCCGUGCCCGUCGUCCCGCGCUCCAGGAAUGUCGGUUCGAUCGACAAGAUGCGGGCAUGCGAAGAACGAAUCGGGCAGCUAGUUGCCAAGCUGGAAGAUAAAGGAAUACGUAUAAAGCAAUGGAGGAUUGGGGCUUUCAACCGGACGCUUUGCCCAGUGUGCAAAGGGGGAUUCAACAAGGAACAAAGCCUCAGUGUCUUCAUCCGAAAUGAUGGUUUAAAUGCAAGAUGGACUUGUUUUAGAGCGAAUUGUGGCUGGAAAGGCAAUGCCCAGCCUGACGGAGAUUCCAACGUGUACCAAGAAAAAAAGGACACAGGAAAUGGAAGUGACGCAGGAAAGGAAACUGUCCAGCAAUUCAAGGCAAAUCAUGCAGUCAAGGUCUACAGAAAGCUUUGUGAAGAGGACCUGCGUCUUGAGCCUCUGUGUGAUGAGCUCGUGACAUACUUUUCGGAGAGAAUGAUAUCACCGGAAACACUUCGAAGGAACAAUGUAUCGCAACGUAAAUGGAACGACAAGAUUGUGAUUGCUUUCACCUACAGACGUGAUAAAGUCCUCGUUGGCUGCAAAUACAGGGAAAUCUCUAAGAAAUACACACAGGAGAGAAACACUGAGAAAAUUUUGUAUGGUCUGGACGAUAUAAAGCAAGCACGCGUUGUUAUCAUUGUUGAGGGUGAAAUUGAUAAACUUUCCAUGGAAGAAGCUGGCUAUCGUAACUGUGUGAGUGUGCCAGAUGGUGCACCACCACAAGUAUCCAACAAACUCCCAGACAAAGACCAUGAUACUAAGUAUCGAUAUCUGUGGAACUGCAAAGGGUAUCUUGACUCGGCAUCUAAGAUAAUACUGGCAACAGAUGCUGAUCCUCCAGGACAGGCUCUUGCUGAGGAACUUGCUCGCCGCCUUGGUAAUGAAAGGUGUUGGAGGGUCACGUGGCCAAGGAAGAAUGAGACAGAAUUUUGCAAAGAUGCCAAUGAGGUACUUAUGUUCUUGGGGCCAAAAGCAUUGAAGGAGGUUAUAGAAGGUGCAGAACUGUAUCGUAUAAGAGGUCUUUUCAACUUCAGAGAUUUCUUCUCUGAGAUCGAUAGUUAUUACUCUAGGAAUUCGUGGCGAUGAGCUUGAAAUUCCUGCUGGUUCGAAAUGUAUGGAUGAGCUUUACAAGGAGGAGGCCAGCCAUCCGAAUGGGAAAGUUCCUACCCCUGCCACCUCCCCCGCAGCCGCGCAGCGCCGCCAUCUCCGGCCACCAAGACCGUCAGGGAAGCCCACCUUGACCUCCCCCAACCUCCGCAGGCCCUGCUGCCAUUCCUCCACCUCUUCCUGGCCUCGUCGAUUUUCCUCCAUGCAACCAUCUGGUUGUCGCAGUGCCGGGCCGAGCUCCUCCUCUAGAGCCCCACCAGCCUUGAUGUCCCCACCGCCGGUGCGUUGUCGCACAAGCAGAGCACAUGGCCGAUCGGACUAGCGCGGCUGUUGCAGCUCGAUCUGCGGCUGUUGGUGCUGCCGAGCAAGAUGUGGCUGGGGGAGUGGGGCUAGCUGGUGGAGCCAGGCUGGCUGUGGCUGAAACUUCUCCGGCGGGGGCGGCACAGGACGGGGAGGGUGAGGCCGUGUGGUUGGGAUCACGUAGGAUGGUGGGGAGGAUUAAAGGAGAGGAAAAACAGUAACCCACUAACAUGCUGUUCCUGACAAGAUUUUCUUUCGAGACAAGUAUGAAGGUGUAAUUUUCAAAAGAAUCUGUGUAGGGGAUUGAGUAUCAGCUCAAUGUUAUAUGCGGUGUGAAUGCACAAGUGGCAGAAGAAGGGGAGUACAGCUACUCAACCCAAAGAUUGUUCCCCGUACCGUUAAAUCAACUUCUAUGGUACGCCAAAGGGUUCUUCACCUUCUGAAACCCCCACGCUGUUCUUCGUUGAGUGUAGCAAUGUUGAUGAAGAGGAGAAUGUGGUGUGUUCAUGUGUGGUAGACCUGUCGACUGAACAUGGUAAUGCCUGCUUGAGCUUUCUUUCUGCAGUAACAAAUGCUGAUUUACUGAUUAUCUUUGCCUUGAAAAAAGGUCAUUGUUACCACGGAGUACGCAGGGACUUGUGCAUCUGAGUUUUGGAACAUAUCGUGGGUGUGACGUAGAGUUUGAGGUAAUUGCUUCUGUGGUACAUAGACUCAGCAUCGAAGAGUUAUCCUCUUUGGGAUGAGCAAAAGUAAAUAGAUUGGUUGCCUUUGGAGGAAUCAGUCUAUUUUGAUCCUUGAUGGGACGCGAAAUUUUCCCAUUAUGUAAAUGAUGCUAGUACUCCAUGGUGUAAACCUGUUUACUCAAACUGGCUCAUCAUGCCAUGAUAACAAUUUGUUUGUUCUGUAGUGUUUUGAUGAAG